rnacentral:rRNA from 1 species
GACGAACGCUGGCGGCGUGCCUAAUACAUGCAAGUAGAACGCUGAAGAGAGGAGCUUGCUCUUCUUGGAUGAGUUGCGAACGGGUGAGUAACGCGUAGGUAACCUGCCUGGUAGCGGGGGAUAACUAUUGGAAACGAUAGCUAAUACCGCAUAAAAUGGAUUAUCGCAUGAUAAUCCAUUGAAAGGUGCAAAUGCAUCACUACCAGAUGGACCUGCGUUGUAUUAGCUAGUUGGUGGGGUAACGGCUCACCAAGGCGACGAUACAUAGCCGACCUGAGAGGGUGAUCGGCCACACUGGGACUGAGACACGGCCCAGACUCCUACGGGAGGCAGCAGUAGGGAAUCUUCGGCAAUGGACGGAAGUCUGACCGAGCAACGCCGCGUGAGUGAAGAAGGUUUUCGGAUCGUAAAGCUCUGUUGUAAGAGAAGAACGAGUAUGAGAGUGGAAAGUUCACACUGUGACGGUAUCUUACCAGAAAGGGACGGCUAACUACGUG